GCAACCUGCCUGUAAGAUUGGGAUAACCCCGGGAAACCGGGGCUAAUACCGGAUAAUACUUUUCGUUGCAUAACGAGAAGUUGAAAGGCGGCUUUUAGCUGUCACUUANNGAUGGGCCCGCGGCGCAUUAGCUAGUUGGUAAGGUAACGGCUUACCAAGGCGACGAUGCGUAGCCGACCUGAGAGGGUGAUCGGCCACACUGGGACUGAGACACGGCCCAGACUCCUACGGGAGGCAGCAGUAGGGAAUCUUCCGCAAUGGACGAAAGUCUGACGGAGCAACGCCGCGUGAGUGAUGAAGGUUNACGGAUCGUAAAACUCUGUUGUCAGGGAAGAACAAGUGCCGUUCAAAUAGGGCGGCACCUUGACGGUACCUGACCAGAAAGCCCCGGCUAACUACGUGCCAGCAGCCGCGGUAAUACGUAGGGGGCAAGCGUUGUCCGGAAUUAUUGGGCGUAAAGCGCGCGCAGGCGGUCCUUUAAGUCUGAUGUGAAAGCCCACGGCUUAACCGUGGAGGGCCAUUGGAAACUGGAGGACUUGAGUACAGAAGAGGAGAGUGGAAUUCCACGUGUAGCGGUGAAAUGCGUAGAGAUGUGGAGGAACACCAGUGGCGAAGGCGACUCUCUGGUCUGNAACUGACGCUGAGGUGCGAAAGCGUGGGGAGCGAACAGGAUUAGAUACCCUGGUA
rnacentral:rRNA from 1 species